AACCAGUGAGCCACUGACUCACACAGUAUGCGCCAUAUGGCGGCGGCAUCACCGCUUUUAACCUCACCACCAACAGUAUCUCCAUUUCUCCGACAAACCCGAAGCUACAAAAGGACCUUUAUCCGGUCGUCCUCAUCAGCAUCAUCGCCAAUGGACCUUCACCACCGGAAACGAGUCGUCGUAUGCGGCGGCGGCGUCAUCGGCGUAUGCACCGCCUACUUCUUAGCCAAAAGCGGCGCCGCCGUAACCCUCGUCGAGAAAUCCUCCGUGGCUUGCGCUGCAUCCGGAAAAGCCGGCGGCUUCCUCGCCCUCGAUUGGUGCGACGGCGGGCCCCUCAGUUCCCUCGCCCGCGCCAGCUUCAACCUCCACCGUUCGCUUGCUCAAGAACUCGACGGCCCCAAUUCUUACGGCUACCGAUCCCUCACCACUCUCAGCCUCACCGUCACUGAGUCUCAGAGCUCGAAACCCUCCGGAAAGUCCGCUUUGCCGUCUUGGGUUGAUGGGCCGGGUCGGAGUCCGAGAACCAUCGGGACCACGGAGACCACGGCCCAGGUCCAUCCUCAGCUCUUUACCCGGACCUUGAUUUCGAAGGCGGCGGAGGAUUAUGGCGUCGACGUGGUGAUUGGGAAAUUGGAGCACUUGGGAGUGGACAAUGGGCGAGUGAACUCGGUGGUUUUGGAGGGAGGACGAGUGAUUGACUCGGACGCUGUCGUUUUGGCGCUGGGGCCAUGGUGUGGGAAAUUUGAGCUGUUGUCGUCGUUGUUCAGAGUGUACGGUAUAAAGGCUCAUAGCAUUGUGUUGGAGCCUAAAGAACCUGAGGCUAUAACCCCUCAUGCGCUUUUCCUGAGUUACUAUCCGUCUCAAGGAGGAAAGCCCUUGGACCCAGAAGUGUACCCUCGCCCCACAGGUGAGGUGUAUGUGUGUGGGAUGUCCGCAGAGGCAGAGAUACCGGAUGAUCCGGAGCAAAUAGUGGGCAAUCCGGAGUCGAUAGAGGUGCUGAAAAGGGUGGCAAGCAGUGUGUCAAGCCAUUUGAGAGAAGGAGAGGCACAGGUGAAGGCAGAGCAAGCAUGUUUCCUGCCCUGUACUGAUGAUGGUGUCCCUGUGAUUGGGGAGGUGCCAGGGGUUAAGGGGUGUUAUGUGGCUACUGGGCAUAAUUGUUGGGGGAUUCUGAAUGGUCUUGCCACUGGAGCUGCUGUGUCUGAGCUUGUGCUGGAUGGGAAAGCUAGCAUUGUAGAUCUCAGUCGGUUUAGUCCGGCAAGAUUUGUUGGGCUUAAGAAGGGUUAAGACAUGAAUCUGGUGUAGACAGAUUUAGAGCAUUGAGGAAGUGGAGUGAAGUCAUGUUGUAUCUGGAGUGUUUUUUUUCUUUUUUCAGUUGAAGGUAAGAAAGAAUCUGCAUAUGGGCGUUGGGGUUGCUGAUUCUUUUUAUUUAGGCAGGCUGUAUUUGAUCAUAGGUAGCUAUCAGUCAGGAAUCAAGCAGCGGCGGUCAAAAGAAAUAAGCUGUUGCAGUUGCCAGCAAGCAAAGCAAGAAAGCAUGUAGCUAGCAGCUGAGUAUGGUAGUUGGAAGAUAGUUAAGACUGUCAGGAGUUUGUGUAAUUAGCUGUAAUUGUUUGUUCCCUGCCGUGUGUGAGAUGCAACGCAAAGGAAUGCGGUUGUAUAAGUACACAAGCCAUAGUAAAAAUGACUGAUAUUCAUGAAAUGGAAGAUUACAAAUUAGUAGGCAUCAAUCUUCUUGCCAUCCAGCUGGACCCUUGUCUUUUUAUGUUUUAUAGGUCUGGAGCUGGACACUUGUUGCUCUGGAAAAUUUGCACACUAAUGUAAGUUUCGGUUAUGGAACCAGGGCUAUUCUGAGAAUAAAACGCAUAUGCACCGGA